rnacentral:rRNA from 1 species
UGGAGCAUGUGGUUUAAUUCGACGCAACGCGCAGAACCUUUACCUAGGCUUGACAUCCGGGAAUUUGCUGGAAACAGUGAAGUGCUUCAUUAGAAGAGCCCGGUGACAGGUGCUGCAUGGCUGUCGUCAGCUCGUGUCGUGAGAUGUUGGGUUAAGUCCCGCAACGAGCGCAACCCUCGCCUUUAGUUGCCAGCAUUCAGUUGGGCACUCUAAAGGGACUGCCGGUGUCAAACCGGAGAAGGUGGGGAUGACGUCAAGUCCUCAUGGCCUUUAUGUCUAGGGCUACACACGUACUACAAUGGCCGGUACAAAGGGCAGCGACACAGCGAUGUGAAGCCAAUCCCGAAAAGCCGGUCUCAGUCCGGAUUGGAGUCUGCAACUCGACUCCAUGAAGUUGGAAUCGCUAGUAAUCGCGGAUCAGCACGCCGCGGUGAAUACGUUCCCGGGCCUU